rnacentral:rRNA from 1 species
CAAAGGCUUGGUCCUGACUUUACUAUCAACUUUAGCUAAACUUACACAUGCAAGUAUCCGCACUCCUGUGAGAAUGCCCUACAGUUCCCCGCCCGGGAACAAGGAGCUGGUAUCAGGCACAUCCCUAGUUGAGCCCAUGACGCCUUGCUUAGCCACACCCUCAAGGGAACUCAGCAGUGAUAGACAUUAAGCCAUAAGUGAAAACUUGACUUAGUCAAAGCUAAGAGGGCCGGUAAAACUCGUGCCAGCCACCG